AGCUGCUAAAUAGCAGGCUAGCACCGCAAACCAUCGGUUGCAUCCCACUCGCAAGUCACACAGCAGGACGUAACGGAUGACCUCGACAACAUGGACAGACCCCAGUUACACCUCCAACAUUGGCAAACACUAAAGAGAAUUGACGGUUUUGGAGCAAACCACAGAGGAAAGCUAACGUUCUAAUGUAUAUGACUGUCAAGCUACUCUAGCUAGUACAGGAUACAGUUAUUUAAAAUGUAUGCAGUAGCUAUCAGUAUCAACAUGUUUUAAGCAUACGUACUCUUUGAACUUGAGUAACAUCAAUGAAAAAUAUCAAUGACCUUACAUCACCCCCUGAAAAAAAUAUAAUGGUAUAGUCUCGCUUCCUGAUAGUUGUGCUGGGCACUUUCACAGAAAUCCAUGGUCAGAAGUUUGUGAUUUAGGCUGUUAUCAUUAUUAUGUUAACCUAAACACGCCGCUAAUUGCAUCGCUAUUAUACUGUAAUUUAUAGUCUGAAUAAACGAACUUGAGUAGA